CCAGGGCCCCACCAGCCCAGUUCCCCACCUGGAGAUGCCCCCUCACCAGGGACAAAGAAAGGCCUGAUGUUCUCGGGAGGUCCCACAGGAAGUCACCUAAAAGAUUUAUGCAAAGAGAAGAGACUUCUGUAAUAUUUCAGAUCGCCCUGGCAGCAGGGUAGAGGAUGCGUUGGCGACAGCAGUCAAGAAAGGAAGUUCA
rnacentral:lncRNA from 1 species